rnacentral:rRNA from 1 species
CGCCUUCUUGAAUAACAUAAGAGGUCCCGCCUGCCCAGUGACUUUGUUCAACGGCCGCGGUAUUCUGACCGUGCGAAGGUAGCGUAAUCACUUGUCCUUUAAAUAAGGACUAGUAUGAAUGGCAUCACGAGGGCUUUACUGUCUCCUAUAUCUAAUCAGUGAAACUGAUCUCCCCGUGAAGAAGCGGGGAUUUUUACAUAAGACGAGAAGACCCCAUGGAGCUUUAAACCAAAAUCAAUUACUUUUUAAUACUAACCUGCGGGCCCACUCAACAGCUAAGUAAUACUGACCUAGGUUUUCGGUUGGGGCGACCACGGAGAAUAAAAUAUCCUCCUUGAUGAAUGAACAUUUCUUAACCAAGAGCUACAGCUCUAAGUAAUAAAAUAUUUAACUUACAUUGAUCCAAUCUUAUUGAUCAACGAACCAAGUUACCCUGGGGAUAACAGCGCAAUCCAUUUCAAGAGUUCAUAUCGACAAGUGGGUUUACGACCUCGAUGUUGGAUCAGGGCAUCCCAGUGGUGCAGCCGCUACUAAAGGUUCGUUUGUUCAACGAUUAAAGCCCU